rnacentral:lncRNA from 1 species
AAUACUACUCUGGUAAUUGUUUACAAAAGAUUUCGAAUAAAUAGAUUUGAUAAUGAGAGUAAUUAUAAUAGAGAAGCAAUAACGAUUGAUUAGAAAAAGAUGAAAUGAAAAUAAAUUCGCAUAUAGUAUGCAGUGCUGCAAGUCAAACGGACAGACAUAUCUAAGUGUACACGAGGAAAAUACGACCAACUUGUCCCGAAGGAUACUUUCGGAUGGAAUUCAGGCCAGAAAAAAGUUCCAAUUACUCGUUCGUUUUUCCUCCGCCUUCUACGCACGAACAUACUGUUUCUGGUGUCUCAUCCGAUAUCAAACCUUUCAAACUCUCAAGGCAAAAGUUCGAAGGACCUCCGUGCGACCGUAGUGCUCGAAAAGCCGCGCGCGCAAAAGAAACACAACAAAAAAGGAAAUAAAACACGAGAAACACGAUCUCGAUUUCGUAAGAUUGACGAUGGAUGGAAGUGUAGUGAUAUCGAGAGGCUCCAAGAUGGACAAAAAACCAGCUCCGCGGCAAGAAAUCUCCUUUCCGUCGGCAGUAAUAUUGCAAGAUUCUAGGAGACCGGGUCCAUUGAAGGAACCCGGCUGUUCCUCGGCGGAGCAAAUCCGGCAGAGGAACAUCGCCAAAAUGACAGUACCGCGGCAGAACUGUGUGCACAUGCCGGUCAGCUUAUUAGGCUUCUCUUCCUUCCUUCUGCCGGAGUCGCCGCGCCCAGGAAACGUUUCACUUCACCACAUUAUACUUAUAUCAGAUACACAUCAGGAUCCUGGAUCCCUUGACAAACGAAAAGAUGAACACAUAUAGAGAUGGCAUAUAGAAAGGAACGCGUGGCCUGUUAAGGAGCUUAUAAGCUCACGAAACGAACAACGCACGCGCUCACUUUCCCUUUAACGCGGUUUCGACAACAGACGUAUACAAUACGACAUACGUUUACCAACUGACAGCGUAACUAUAUGUGCAAUAGCAGUAACUGCACCAAUUCCCCCUCUUUCACUGAGCUUCAUCCCUACUAUUGCCAUAUUCAUUGCUUUGAACCAAUCAACUUUCUCCGUAAAAACACCACUACCGAUGCACUUCUAGUAUAAUAUACUUGCGAUUCGCAAUAAUUGUGUAUCGAUGAUAUAUACCGUAUAUAGAGAUCUAUAUUUUCAAUCAAUUUUAUGAUUUUUAUUUUAUUUUUUAAGAUGAUAUUUAUAGCACGAUGAUUGAAUGAUAUUUUUUUAAUUGGAUAUUAACUUUGAUACAAAAAAAAAAAAAAUGAAGACUCAUAUGUUUAUUUUUGAGAGAUUAAUUGAUUUUGAAUUUGAAAAUUGUUAAAAAUAUACAUUGAAGAAUAUUGUAAUAUUUAUAAAAA